ACAACCUACGCCGUGCACCAGUGGGCUUCUCCCUUGGGACUGGCGCCUCCUCAGAAAGAAGCAGAUGCCAGGAAAGGUGAGCGUUGCUCCUGUUGCUUGCUUGCAACCAUGUGCACUUUCCUGUGACCACUGUGUCUGUCUUCCUCGGCUCUGGGAUGAGACCCCCGCCUGAGUCCUGCUGCCCCAAAUUCCCCAGUGGACUUCAAUAAAACCUUACCAAGAAGAGAGGAAUAAGGCCACCUUGGGCCUUCACACACACAACACUUCUCAGGAAGGCUGAUUUUAUUUGAGCUCCCGCAGUAGGAGGAAAAGAUUUUAGUGUGGAACUGAGCUCAAUUCUGAAUAGACAGACAGCUGGGGAUGUUCAGCAGGUAAGCAGAGUGAGGGACGGUGGGUGGAAAAUGAUUAAGAGGAGCUCCCGUAGACAGCAAGAGCAGGGGAUUCGUGCUGAGCUGGCUUAAUAGGAUCCUUGGUAAAGGCAGACCAAGGGUCUACACGUCCAGGCUGGAGGAUGUAGAACAUGAUCAGGCAUGAACAGUGCAGACUCGGGACCCCUGUGACUCAGCUCGGGUGCCGGAAUGAAAUCCCACGGGCUGUGCAGCUUUAACCACACUCUCCAGACCCCUGUGACGCAGCUCGGGCGCCGGAAUGAAAUCCCACGGGCUGUGCAGCUUUAACCACACUCUCCGGACCCCUGUGACGCAGCUCGGGCGCCGGAAUGAAAUCCAAGGGCUGUGCAGCUUUAACCACACACUCGAUUGAUUUCCUCACAGUCCCAGAGGCUGGAAGUUUGAGGUGCAGGUGGAGGCAGGGCUGGUUCCUCCUGAGGCCUUUCUCCUGGGCUUGCAGAUGGCGUCUUCUCCCUGCGUCCUCAUGUGGUCAUCCCUCUGUGGGCUUCUGUGUCCUAAUCUCCUCUUCUUUUAAGGACACCAGUCACAAUGGAUUAGAGCUCAUCCUGAAGACCUCAUUUUACCUUAGUGACCUCUGAAAAGACGCUAUCUCUGAUACUCUCACAUUGUGAGGUCCUGGGGGCCUAGGACUUCAACAUACAAAUUUGGGGGAACACAGACACCCAGCCCAUAACAUGAACCAAACCCCAAAGUGGCACUGGGGCUUUUCUCCGGGGACCGCCAUCAUUUUGGAGAAGGAAGAGGAUUCUGGAAAAGAUCCACCCAGGCCCAGAAAGGGGAAGGGAAGGAGGGAGACAGAGCGGGGGAGGCGGGAAAGGGGCCAGGAGCAUGGUGCGGGGUCCCUCACAGCCUGGCCUCAGGGCUCCUGGAGGGAAAGAAGUGGGGACGUCCCCUGCUCCCCAAGAGGAAGUCUGACUUUGGGCCCCCGGUGAGGACUGGAUUCCUAAAUCCAGAUGUCCUGUUCCUUUCUCUCUAAGGGCCAGAGGGAAACAGGACAUUCAGCUCCUGGCCCACCCGUCUUUGUCAUUUUAAUUAAAAUCAGGGCUCGUGGUGGUUUAGACAGUUGCCCUCAUUAGCACUAAAUCAAGCACCCAUUUUUAAGAUAUAGGCCCCUUGAAAGUGAAGAAUGGCAGGGCUGAGAAAUAAAUAUUUGAAAAGGGCAGCGAAGCCACAGACCUGCCUCCCUUGGCUUCCUGCCGACUGGUUUCAGCUCCAUUUCUCUCCCCUCGUCUCUGACAAAUGGCCCCUGCACGGAGUCCACCUGUGAGGCUGGGCCCCUGGCUGAGGCCUCACGAGAGGGAGGCUGAGGACCCCAGGGCAGAUGGCCAGUUCUGCUGCCCCUUCCUCUCAGGCCUGGGGAGAGUCUGUGUCCCACAGAGAGGAGACGGAGAUAGGGCAGGGGUUGGAGGAGCUUCCUAGGAGCCUCUGGGGUGGUGGCCUCUGCAGAUACCAGCACCCUCCUGAACAGGUAAGAACAGGCAAACAGCACGUCUCAGUGACAUCUCUGGGCCCAGUGACAGGCUCCUUCCCCAUUGAGUCCGAGUCCAUAGGAAACACUAACAUUCCCUUUUGGAAAAAGAUAAGUAACUCCAUGGUGGAGACACGUGACGUGCACAUCCUCUGCCAGUGACCAAGGCCAGUGUCAGCAGUGAGAGUCAAGUGGACGGCACAUGAUCCUGCUGAUGUGCGUGGGUGGAGGGGCAUUGCCUUCCUGCUCCUCCUCCCAAACC
rnacentral:lncRNA from 10 species